AGUGGCGGACGGGUGAGUAACGCGUGAGAAUCUGCCUUGGGGUCGGGGACAACCACUGGAAACGGUGGCUAAUACCGGAUAAGCCGAUUGGUGAAAGAUUUAUUGCCCGAAGAGGAGCUCGCGUCUGAUUAGCUAGUUGGUGAGGUAAGAGCUCACCAAGGCAGCGAUCAGUAGCUGGUCUGAGAGGACGAUCAGCCACACUGGGACUGAUACACGGCCCAGACUCCUACGGGAGGCAGCAGUGGGGAAUUUUCCGCAAUGGGCGAAAGCCUGACGGAGCAAGACCGCGUGAGGGAGGAAGGCUCUUGGGUUGUAAACCUCUUUUCUCAGGGAAGAAGCUCUGACGGUACCUGAGGAAUCAGCCUCGGCUAACUCCGUGCCAGCAGCCGCGGUAAUACGGAGGAGGCAAGCGUUAUCCGGAAUUAUUGGGCGUAAAGCGUCCGCAGGUGGCGAUUCAAGUCUGCUGUCAAAGCACGGGGCUUAACUCCGUAAAGGCAGUGGAAACUGAAUAGCUAGAGUGCCGUAGGGGUAGAGGGAAUUCCCGGUGUAGCGGUGAAAUGCGUAGAGAUCGGGAAGAACAUCGGUGGCGAAAGCGCUCUACUGGACGGCAACUGACACUCAGGGACGAAAGCUAGGGGAGCGAAUGGGAUUAGAUACCCC
rnacentral:rRNA from 1 species